rnacentral:rRNA from 1 species
AUGAGAGAUUAUUUUGACCCUAAUCUGACCUAUCCAGAGAAGUAUUUUCGCCGCCGCUUUCAGAUGCACACAAGUCUCUUUCUCACCAUUGCAAAAGCCGUCGAGAAGUAUGAUGAUUGGUUUAAGCUUAGAAGGUAUGCAUGCGGAGAGAUAAGUGCGAGCCCUUUGAUGAAGUGUAUUGCGGCUGUUCGAUUUCUGGCAUAUGGGUGUUCGGCCGAUGCAAUUGACGACUAUGUCCGCAUUGAAGAAGAUACAAUCUUGGAGGCCGUUGGAAGGUUCAAAAAAGCAGUGAUUGAUGUCUUUGGGCCAGAGCACUUGAGGGCACCCAACGAGGAAGACACUGAGAGGCUUAUGGCAGCGAGUGAAGAAAGAGGAUGA